GUAAUGCCUAGGAAAUUGCCCUGAUGUGGGGGAUAACCAUUGGAAACGAUGGCUAAUACCGCAUGAUGCCUACGGGCCAAAGAGGGGGACCUUCGGGCCUCUCGCGUCAGGAUAUGCCUAGGUGGGAUUAGCUAGUUGGUGAGGUAAGGGCUCACCAAGGCGACGAUCCCUAGCUGGUCUGAGAGGAUGAUCAGCCACACUGGAACUGAGACACGGUCCAGACUCCUACGGGAGGCAGCAGUGGGGAAUAUUGCACAAUGGGCGCAAGCCUGAUGCAGCCAUGCCGCGUGUGUGAAGAAGGCCUUCGGGUUGUAAAGCACUUUCAGUCGUGAGGAAGGUGGUGUAGUUAAUAGCUGCAUUAUUUGACGUUAGCGACAGAAGAAGCACCGGCUAACUCCGUGCCAGCAGCCGCGGUAAUACGGAGGGUGCGAGCGUUAAUCGGAAUUACUGGGCGUAAAGCGCAUGCAGGUGGUUUGUUAAGUCAGAUGUGAAAGCCCGGGGCUCAACCUCGGAAUAGCAUUUGAAACNUGGCAGACUAGAGUACUGUAGAGGGGGNUAGAAUUUCANGGUGUAGCCGCUGAAAUGCGAAGAGAUCUGAAGGAAUACCCGGUGGCGAAGGCGGCCCCCUGGACAGAUACUGACCCUCAGAUGAGAAAGCGUGGGGAGCAAACAGGAUUAGAUACCCUGGUAGUCCACGCCGUAAACGAUGUCUACUUGGAGGUUGUGGCCUUGAGCCGUGGCUUUCGGAGCUAACGCGUUAAGUAGACCGCCUGGGGAGUACGGUCGCAAGAUUAAAACUCAAAUGAAUUGACGGGGGCCCGCACAAGCGGUGGAGCAUGUGGUUUAAUUCGAUGCAACGCGAAGAACCUUACCUACUCUUGACAUCCAGAGAACUUUCCAGAGAUGGAUUGGUGCCUUCGGGAACUCUGAGACAGGUGCUGCAUGGCUGUCGUCAGCUCGUGUUGUGAAAUGUUGGGUUAAGUCCCGCAACGAGCGCAACCCUUAUCCUUGUUUGCCAGCGAGUAAUGUCGGGAACUCCAGGGAGACUGCCGGUGAUAAACCGGAGGAAGGUGGGGACGACGUCAAGUCAUCAUGGCCCUUACGAGUAGGGCUACACACGUGCUACAAUGGCGCAUACAGAGGGCNGCCAACUUGCGAAAGUGAGCGAAUCCCAAAAAGUGCGUCGUAGUCCGGAUUGGAGUCUGCAACUCGACUCCAUGAAGUCGGAAUCGC
rnacentral:rRNA from 1 species